GACGAACGCUGGCGGCGUGCUUAACACAUGCAAGUCGAACGGAAAGGCCCUGCUUUUGUGGGUUGCUCGAGUGGCGAACGCGGGAGUAACACGUGAGUAACCUGCCCUUAUCAUUGGGAUAACUUUAGGAGACUGGGGCUAAUACCGGAUAGGAUCUCCUGCUGCAUGGGGGGGGUUGGAGAGUGUCGGCGGUGGGGGAUGUACUCGCGGCUUAUGAGCUGGUUUGUGGGGUAGGUGCUUACCAAGGUUUUGACGGGUAGCCGGCCUGGGAGGGUGACCGGCCACAAUGGGACUGAGAUACGGACCAGACUCCUACGGGAGGCAGCAGUGGGGAAUAUUGCACAAUGGGCGGAAGCCAGAGGCAGCAGCGCCGCGUGCGGGAUGACGGCCUUCGGGUUGUAAACCGCUUUCGACUGUGACGAAGCGUGAGUGACGGUAAUGGGUAAAGAAGCAACGGCUAACUACGUG
rnacentral:rRNA from 1 species